rnacentral:rRNA from 1 species
GACGGAAGGCCCUGCUUGCAGGGUACUCGAGUGGCGAACGGGUGAGUAACACGUGGGUGAUCUGCCCUGCACUUCGGGAUAAGCCUGGGAAACUGGGUCUAAUACCGGAUAGGACCAUCGUUUAGUGUCGGUGGUGGAAAGUUUUUCGGUGCAGGAUGAGCCCGCGGCCUAUCAGCUUGUUGGUGGGGUAAUGGCCUACCAAGGCGUCGACGGGUAGCCGGCCUGAGAGGGUGGACGGCCACAUUGGGACUGAGACACGGCCCAGACUCCUACGGGAGGCAGCAGUGGGGAAUAUUGCACAAUGGGCGCAAGCCUGAUGCAGCGACGCCGCGUGGGGGAUGAAGGCCUUCGGGUUGUAAACUCCUUUCAGCAGGGACGAAGCUUUUGUGACGGUACCUGCAGAAGAAGCACCGGCUAACUACGUGCCAGCAGCCGCGGUAAUACGUAGGGUGCGAGCGUUGUCCGGAAUUACUGGGCGUAAAGAGCUCGUAGGUGGUUUGUCGCGUCGUCUGUGAAAUUCCGGGGCUUAACUCCGGGCGUGCAGGCGAUACGGGCAUAACUUGAGUGCUGUAGGGGAGACUGGAAUUCCUGGUGUAGCGGUGAAAUGCGCAGAUAUCAGGAGGAACACCGAUGGCGAAGGCAGGUCUCUGGGCAGUUACUGACGCUGAGGAGCGAAAGCAUGGGUAGCG